rnacentral:rRNA from 1 species
AACCAGCUCUUCAAGUGGUCGGGAUAAUUAUUGGGCUUAAAGUGUCCGUAGCCGGUUUAGUAAGUUCCUGGUAAAAUCGGGUAGCUUAACUAUCUGCAUGCUAGGAAUACUGCUAUACUAGAGGGCGGGAGAGGUCUGAGGUACUACAGGGGUAGGGGUGAAAUCUUAUAAUCCUUGUAGGACCACCAGUGGCGAAGGCGUCAGACUGGAACGCGCCUGACGGUGAGGGACGAAAGCCAGGGGAGCGAACCGGAUUAGAUACCCGGGUAGUCCUGGCCGUAAACGAUGCAUACUAGGUGAUGGCACGGCCAUGAGCCAUGUCAGUGCCGUAGGGAAACCGUUAAGUGUGCCGCCUGGGAAGUACGGUCGCAAGGCUAAAACUUAAAGGAAUUGGCGGGGGAGCACCACAAGGCGUGAAGCUUGCGGUUC